UACAGGAGGUCCCGAGCGUUGUUCGGAUUCACUGGGCGUAAAGGGUGCGUAGGUGGUUGGGUUAAGUUUGAUGUGAAAGCUCCGAGGGCUUAACCCUGAAAUGGCAUUGAAUACUACUUAACUGGAGGUUUGGAGGGGGGACUGGAAUUCGUUGGUGGUAGCAGUGAAAUGCGUAGAUAAUCAAGAGGAACACCAGUGGCGA
rnacentral:rRNA from 1 species